rnacentral:lncRNA from 1 species
GAGUAACACACAUCUUUCCAGGAAAUGUUGCUCCCACAUAACUUGAAUAAUCUCUAUAGCUAAAUAAAUAAAUAUACAUUUAUAAUUUUAAUGAGUGAGUUAAAUGUGAAUCUUCCUGCUUACUUAACUCCGUAGUUUAUAAAAUCCUAGUCUAAAAUGAAGUGAAGUACAGUCCUUCAACAUGUCCUUAACUGUUUCAAAAUUUGAAUAUAUACUGGACUAAAUACUCUUAAUUUCAAAAACAUAUGUAACAGAUAAUAGGUUUUUAGAUCUUUACUAUACUCAUCACAUCUGGUUAAGAUUACUAAAUCUCUGAUUCAAAUAGUAUUUUAAAAAUUUCUUGAAUGAUAAUGACAAAAAGUUUUAAUGUAUGGAUAAAAAUGUGUCACUCUCUUGUACAAAAGUUCAACAGUUUCUUACAGGAAUGACUAUAUUAUUUCUCAGCUAAACAUAAUUUUUCAGUUUUGGGGACGAAUCCAUGUAAUGAUCAUAUAAUAUUAGUCUACGUACUUUACAUAAAUUAUUCCAUUUAACAUUCAAAACAAACCACUGAAAUUGAUAAUAUCUGUAUCUGCAUUAAACAUCUGAUGGGAAAAGUAACUCUCUACAGGUGGCAUGAUUAAUAAGUGCUACUGAAAGAUUUGAACUUAAAAAAUCCAGAGGCAUACUCUCAGCCAUUAAGAUAUAGAUGUUCCACAUAUAUUCUGCCAUCUUUAGAGUUUCCACCCACUUAAAUAUGACAAGAUGUGUGUAAAGAAGCUUGGUACUCAAUUCUUUUCCCUCAUUUGCUCUUCUCAAUUGCCUUAUCAUCCCAUUACAACCUCUAUUCCAUCUCUCUGAUAUUGUUUAUACCUACCCACCCACCCCCAACACUGUUUCUAAGUAUUAACUCCUAAUACCCAACAUUAGUUUUGCAUUUUAGUGUAUAAUUAUUACAUUUUCUUAUCCAAAGUAGUUCCUCCAAAAGAUACUUUAACAAAUCCAUCUCUUCUUAAGAUUUCCACUAAAACUAUACACACUUAUUAUGAGAUCAGUAAUAUUUAUUUUUACUUCAUACUGCCACCCCUUGAUGUGCCCACUCCAUGUCAAAUCUGUUAUCAAGAUCUACUAUUUCACUUAUUCAAUGUUUCUUGUUUCCUUUCACUCCUUCUGAGGUUCGGCCCCCAUAUCUAACUAUAAAUUGCAUACUCUUUGAAAGAACUACAUAAUUUUUUUCAUGACACUAAUCACAUUGUUUUUAAAACCUGGAAUGCUUUUCCACCUUCUUUCUCUACCUACUGAAUUAAACAGGCCCAACUCUGCCUUCAAACUUUCACUUAGCAUUAAAUUUGAUCUUUCUAUAAUCCUCCCCGUCUCUCCUAUAAAUUGUAAACAGGAAGAUAAUUAUAUCUUCCAACAUUAAUUUUACUAUAUCCAUUAUGCCUACUGCGGGAUUUACUCAAAUCAGAUUGUAAGCUUUUACAGAACAGAGAUCAUAAUAAACUAUUGCUAAUCAUUCUCCUUGCAUAUCUAUUCUAGGACCUUACUAAUUGUAGAUCUGUGAAAUGUUUCUACAGUAAAAUAAUAUUGAGAUCUCAAAAGUGGUACUAAGUUCAAACAGAAUGAUUGUACUAUACUUUGUAUAUUUCUAAUGGAAUAAAUUCCUUUUGUGCAAAUCUCACAAAAAUUAAUGCAUAUAGCAAUGUCAGUCAGAUGGCCAAGUUCAGGUACCUGGUAUAUGUCACUCCACAAUAAAAAGCCCAAAACAAAGAAAACACAAAUAUAUUCUGGCAGAGUGCAGUGGGAAUGUGGCGGAGAUGUUGCCAAGCAGAGACCCACAAUGGACUCAUUAAAAAGUGGCUAAGUGCAAAAUAUCUAUCAUUCCAUCUCUCCAGUCAAGGGCAAUUCUGAGUCAAGAGAUAUUACUCUCAGCAGCAAAAAGUACAAUUAAAGUCCCCAACAGUCCCCAGUCAUGCUAAGGACACCUGAAGUAUUUGAUUCUGGAGAAACCUACAGCUUUCAAAGUCUCCAAGUCAACUUUAGAGUAUUUCUGGGGAAUCCCUAUACCCGCAUUGUGCCACAGAAAGAACGUAGCAGUCUAUCUACGUUGUGCUCUCCCCCACUGAGGUUCCUACUGCAAAGUAUCAUCACACACCUGCGGGGGGGGGGGGAGAGCUAUGAAACAGCAGGAUGGUAACCCCCAACAGUUCAGAUGGCCUGGCUUGCAAACUAGCUAUGUGGCCUCAUCAACCCACAUUCACCCCUGGGAACCAGCUUUCCAAGGCACCCAUUAAUUAAUAUUGAUCUGUUUAGGUUUUCUAUGUCUUUUGAUUUAAUUUAGAUGAGUCUUGUGUCUAGAAAUUUGUCAAUAUCAUCUAAAUUUUCAAGUUUAUUAGAAUAUAAAUUUUCCAAAAUAAUCUCUAAUAAUCCUCUAGUUUUCAGAAAUGUCUGUGGUGAUUUCUCCUUUUCAUCUCUUAUUUUGUUGAUCUGGGUCUUCUCUUCGUUAAGUUUGGCUAAAUGUUUAUUGAUCUUGUUUAUCUUCUCAUUAAGGACAGCUCUAGUGCUAUUUUCUGUCUUCUACUGGUUUGACCCUGCUUUUCUAGGAGCCAGUGAUAUAACAUCCAAUUGUUUAUUUGGGAUCUUUUUAAAAAAAAAAUUGUAGGAACUUAAAGUUAUCAACUUUCCUCUGAGAACUGCCUUCAGAGUGUCCCAGAGAUUUUGGUAUGCUGUAUCACCAUUCUUCUUUGAUUCUGAUUUCUCCUCUCAUUUCUUCCAUGAUCCAUAUCUCAUCCAGAAUAGUAUUGUUCAAUCUCCUUAUGUAUUUGGUCUCAAUUAUUUUUUUCUUGCUGUCUAUUUCUAACAUCAUUCCAUUGUGAACUGGUAAGAUGAAAGGGAUUAUACUGAUUUCCUUGUAUUUGCUAAGAUUUGCUUUGUGAACUAAAAUAUGGUCUAUUUUGGAGAAGGUUCCUGUGCUUCUUAAAAGUAAGUGAACCCAGCUCUUAAGUCCAUUUGAUAUAUAGUAAUGCUUAGGUCUGAAUUCUUUACUGACUUUAUGUCUGGAUGACUUGUCUCUUGGUGAUAGGUAAGUUUAAAUCACCCAAUAUUAUUUUACUGGGGUCCACCUGAGAGUUUAUGUGACGAAGUGUUUGUUUUAUGCAAUUAGCUGCUCUGACAUUUGGGAUAUAUAUCUUUACUAUCAUAUUUUUUUUGGAUUGUUCUCUUUAUCAGUAUGUAGAGAGCUUCUUGACUCUAAUGAUUAAUUUUUGCUUGAAAUCUGCUUUUUCAUAUAUCUCCAUUUUCAUCUACUUAUUUUGUUGAUUGGAGUCUUCUCUCUGUUAAGUUUGGCUAAGCGUUUAUUGAUCUUGUUUAUCUUCUCAAUAAAGAGAGCUCUAGUGCUAUUUUCUGUCUUCUACUAGUUUUGGAACUAGUUUGUUCCUACUUUUCCAGGGGCCUGAGAUAUAACAUUAAAUUGUUUAUCUACUCCUGCUUGAUUCAUUUGCAUGGAAUAUCUUCUUCCAUUCUUUUAUUUUCAACUUGUGGAUGAACCUCUUGUAAACAGCACAUAGUUGGAUCUUAUUUUUAAUCCAAUCUGCAAGGCAGAUUGGGAGGUUGAGAAUUAUUAUGGAUAAGAAUUUAUUACUUUCUGUCAUUUGGUUAGUUUCAUAGAUUUAAUUUGGUCUUAAUUUUCACUUGCCUUAUUGUUUUUCCAGUGACCUUUGUCUGUUUGGGUUCUUCAAAUGAGCUUUGUGUAUUCAGGAGCUUGGGUUAGCUUUUUGAGUUCUUCUGUAGUGCUGGCCUGAUGAUCAUGAAUUCCUUUACUUUACAGUUAUUGUGCAAGAUUUUUACUACUUCUUCAAUUCUGAUUGAUAGCUUUGCUGGAUCUAACAAUCUUGGAUGGCAGUUGUUUUCUUUCAGAGCUUGAAUUAUUCCAUGCUAAGUCCUGCUGGAUUUUAGACUCUCUGCUGAGAAGUCAGAAGUGAGUCUUACUGGUUUACUUCUAACUGACCUGACAUUUUUCUCUUGUAGAUUUUAAAAUUCCAUCCUUAUUCUCUAUUAGGUAUUUUGAUUAUUGACAUGUCUUGAAAAGGCUCUGUCUUUUAUUUUUUCCAUUUAGGUUCUUAUAUGCCACUUGUGUGUAGAUGUCUCUUUCCUAAGGUUUGAAAAUUUUUCUUAUUAAAAAAUAAAUAAAAUUUAAAGUUUUUUCAUUAUUUCAUUAAAAAUGUAAUCAAUGCCAUUAGCCUGUAUCUCCAUGUCCUCUUAAAUUCCAAUAACUUUUUGUUUUGUUAUGUCCCAUUGUUCUCGUAUAGUCAAUCAUGGUCUCUCUCACCCUUUCUGUCUGUCUGUCUGUCUGUCUCUCUCUCUCUCUCUCUCUCUCUCUCUCUCACACACACACACACACACAGAGAGAGAGAGAGAGAGAGAGAGAGAGAGAGAGAGAGAGAGAGAGAGAGUUUAUGAGUGUUCAAGUUUAUAUACACUGUCUUUGAGGUCUGAAGUUCUGUAUUCUACAUAAACUAAUGUCAAUGAUACUUUCAACUGAAUUUUUUUUUAUUUAUUGUAUCUUUCAUUUCCAGGAGUUCUGGGUUGAGUUUUUCUCAGGAUCUCUUAUCUCUUCAUUGAAAUAGGCUUUCAGCUGGGUACAGUGGUGCACACCUAUAAUCAGAGUUGCUCAGGAGGCUUAGGCAAGAGGCUCUCUAGUUCAAAGCCAGCCCCAGCAACUAAUGUGUCUCUCAGCAACUUAGCAAGAACCUAUCUCAAAAUAAAAACAGACUGGGGAUGUGGCUCAGUGGUUAAGUACGUGUAUUUUCCCUCUUAAUUCAUCCCUUUCCUUAUAUGUGAGCUCCCUAGGUUGAGGAUUGUAAAUUGUAGAGGGAACCUUGUUUGCCUCUUCUUCCUCUUUUAUGAGUGAGUCUUUGGUAAGUUUUUAACCUUUUCAUAAUUAGUCCUAUGCUUUCAGUAUACCUUAGCUUCAACAUGUAGACUCAACAUAACCCAAGUGUUACUUCCAACCCCCAAUACCUCUUUGAAUGAAGAGAGUGCUGAAAUUAGCAGUAGUAAUUUAAAAGUAAUCAUAUUAUCAACAUAUAUUAUGUAUGUAAUUACUAAUGAUCUCUAUAAUUAUAUUAACCCAGGAGGAACAUGGAUGAGGAGUAAUAUAAUAUAGGCUGAAAUUAUUAGUAAUUAUAUACUAAUAAUAUAAGAAAAUAGAGAAAAGGAAAGAAAUUAGACAUUUGAAAGGAAAAGGGUGGGGAAGGAAGGGAGGCAGAGGUAAAAUGGGAAGAGUAGAUUGGAUUGGCUUCAGAAGAUGAGAUUGAUGGAAUAUAAUAGUAUAGAAGAAAGACUAAGUAUUAGUUAAUAUAAGUCAGUUCAUGCACUAAUAAUUCAAAGAUUCACUUUUAUUUUUGCUUAAGCAUUUGAAAAACAGUCUUUUCUAUCUAUUGUUUGACAGAUGUAAGGAAGAUGUUAAAAUGUAAAUGUCUUUUAAUUCCAGCUCCCAUUCAACCUGACGAAUUUGUUAAGUGAGUGUGUAUGCAGAGUUUAACCUUGCCUAUGCUCCUCCUGGAGAGGAUUGGGGUAAACUGCUUUCCUCUUUCACAAUGGCUUUGUUGUUGUGUUUUGAGGUGAGAGUGCAUCUUGUUGGGAAAAUUAGCCAGCUCCUUUGUCUGCUUUAUCUUUAGACUGACCUGUCUUGAACUGCACUUCUCAUUCCUGGAGUCCCUGUCCAUGUGCUAUGCUUGGGUGCUGGGGAGUUGGUACUUUCAGUCUGAUCUCUCCAGACCCAAAUCCCUGACACCUGUCAACCACUUUUUUUUUAAAAGAGAGAGAGAGAGAGAGAGAAUUUUUAAUAUUUAUUUUUUAGUUUUCGGUGGACACAACAUCUUUGUAUGUGGUGCUGAGGAUCGAACCCGGGCCGCACACAUGCCCAGCGAGCGCGCUACUACUUGAGGCACAUCCCCAGUCCUGUCAACCACUCUUUAUUCCACAGACCCAUCUACCAAUUUUAGAUGAAGUCACCCUUUCUUCUCCUCUCUGCAGAGCCACAACAGGCUCUCAGUCUCUCUUCAAUUCUCAGAUUGGGGGUAGGUUUGGUUACUCGUUGAUCCAUAGAAAAGUAUAGCCUAAGUGGCUAUUUGGCCUUGGUAUUCAGCAAGUCAAGUAUGCUAAGUACAGGACCAAAAAAAAAAAAAAAAAAAAACAGGUGCGAAUAAAAUCAAUGGAAAAAAUAGUAAUUUCUGAAAAAUAACGAGUGACCAGCUGAAAGAAUUUGAGGUCUGAUCAAUGAGUCCUUUCAAGAUGAUCGUGUUUUGCCAGUUUCAACCAGCUGUGCUAGGGCUACUUACCUAACUUUGUUAGAGAUCACUAGUUCCCUCUCCAGCCAGGGACUCCCAGGCUUUCUACCCAAUAAGUACAGCCUAAUUUUUCUGAGUUUAUUAUUUGGUCCUAUUGUUAAGCCCAGUGGGAAAGUGUCUUCUUGAGUGAGCAGUACUUAGCAUGACUGGCACUGUCACCAUCUGUUGCUUUUUUUUUUUUCUAUUCUAAAAACCUUUUUUUUUUUUCCACUUUCUUUUGGAUACUAGCACACUGAAUUGCCUACCUGCUUUUUUUCUUUUUCCAUACUUCAAAACUGCUAAUUUAAUUUACUCUUAGAGACCUGUUUCCUCCAUUCCACCAUCAUAGAGCCAUGUGUGCUAUUUGAUUAUACAGCUUUGCAUUAUAUUUUCAAAUGGGUUACUGGUGGCUCCAACUUUGUUCUUUUGGGUCAAUAUUGACUUGUGAUGCCUCCAGUUUUGUUCUUUUGGAUCAAUAUUUGCUAUUUGGGGUCUUUUGUCAUUUUUUGGGAAUAAUAGGACUGGUGGUUCUUGUCUGUGAAGAAUGUCAUUGGCAUUUUGUUAAGGAUUCCACAGAAUAUGCAGAUCACUUUAGAUAGUAUGACAUUUUAACAACAGUAAUUCUUUUAAUUAAUUAACAGGGGUAAACUUCUGUUUAUUUUUGUCUUCUUUAAUUUCUUUUAACAAUGCUUCAUAGUUUUAGUAUAGAUAUCUUCCACCAUCUUGUUAAAUUUACUCCUAAGCAU